rnacentral:rRNA from 1 species
UACGUAGGGUGCGAGCGUUGUCCGGAAUUACUGGGCGUAAAGAGCUCGUAGGUGGUUUGUCGCGUUGUUCGUGAAAACUCACAGCUUAACUGUGGGCGUGCGGGCGAUACGGGCAGACUGGAGUACUGCAGGGGAGACUGGAAUUCCUGGUGUAGCGGUGGAAUGCGCAGAUAUCAGGAGGAACACCGGUGGCGAAGGCGGGUCUCUGGGCAGUAACUGACGCUGAGGAGUGAAAGCGUGGGGAGCGAACAGG